rnacentral:rRNA from 1 species
GGGGAUAACUACUGGAAACGGUAGCUAAUACCGCAUAACGUCGCAAGACCAAAGAGGGGGACCUUCGGGCCUCUUGCCAUCGGAUGUGCCCAGAUGGGAUUAGCUAGUAGGUGGGGUAAAGGCUCACCUAGGCGACGAUCCCUAGCUGGUCUGAGAGGAUGACCAGCCACACUGGAACUGAGACACGGUCCAGACUCCUACGGGAGGCAGCAGUGGGGAAUAUUGCACAAUGGGCGCAAGCCUGAUGCAGCCAUGCCGCGUGUAUGAAGAAGGCCUUCGGGUUGUA